CAGCCCUGCCAUGACCCUGCAGCUCUGGCAAGGAGCCCAGCCCCACGAUCCCGUUCUGUGAUCCGGAAAGAACACAGACCACCCGCCAUGGAGUUUCGGCUGAACUGGGUGGUCUUGUUUGCUCUCUUACAAGGUGUCCAGGCUGAGGAUGAAGCUGGUGGAGUCUGGAGGAGGCCUGGUGCAGCCUGGGGGGUCUCUGAGACUCUCCUGUGUCGGCUCUGGAUUCACCUUCAGUAGUACCUAGCAUUAACUGGGUCCGCCAGGCUCCAGGGAAGGGGCUGGAGUGGCUGGCAGCUAUUUAUACUAGUGGUGGUAGCACCUACUACGCAGACUCUGUGAAGGGCCGAUUCACCAUCUCCAGAGACAACUCCCAGAACACGGCCUAUCUGCAAAUGAACAGCCUGAGAACCGAAGACACGGCCCGGUAUUACUGUGCGAAAGACACAGUGAGGGGAAGCAUGUUGAGCCCAGACAAAAACCUCCCUGCAGGGACACAGGACAGCCUUGUCCUGAACCUGCAGCUCUGGCAGCGGAGUCCCAGCCCCAGGAUCCCCAGGUGCUCCCAUUCUGUUAUCAGGACUGAACACAGACCACAUGCCAUGGAGUCUGGGCUGAGCUGGGUGGUCCUUGCGGCUCUUUUACAAGGUGUCCAGGGUGAGGGGCAGCUGGUGGAGUCUGGAGGAGGCCUGGUGCAGCCUGUGCGUCUCUGAGACUCUCCUGUGCAGACUCUGGGUUCACCUUCAGUGGCUUCUACGUGCACUGGGUCUUCCAGGCUCCCGGGAAGUGACUGGAGUAGGUGGCAGGUAUUAGCAGUCAUGGCGGUAGCACCUACUACGCAGACUCUGUGAAGGGCCGAUUCACCAUCUCCAGAGACAACUCUGGGAACACACUGUAUCUGCAGAUGAACAGCCUGAGAACUGAAGACACGGCCCGGUAUGACUGUGCGAAAGACACAGUGAGGGGAAGGCUGUGUGAGCCCAGACACAAACCUCCCUGCAGGGACACAGGGCCUGGGCUGCAGGGGGCACUCAGGACCCAGAGGUGUUUGCUUCAUGCCCAGGAGCAGGUGCAGAGGGAAGUGAAGGGAUGGUUUCCUGCCAGGGUCUGGGGCUUCCUCUCCCUGUGGCAUCUCCCCAAGGGAAUCCCUCUGCACUCAUGAUUCUCUACACACUAU